AACGAACGCUGGCGGCAGGCUUAACACAUGCAAGUCGAGCGCCCCGCAAGGGGAGCGGCAGACGGGUGAGUAACGCGUGGGAGUCUACCCAUCUCUACGGAAUAACGCAUGGAAACGUGUGCUAAUACCGUAUACGUCCUUCGGGAGAAAGAUUUAUCGGAGAUGGAUGAGCCCGCGUUGGAUUAGCUAGUUGGUGGGGUAAAGGCCUACCAAGGCGACGAUCCAUAGCUGGUCUGAGAGGAUGAUCAGCCACACUGGGACCGAGACACGGCCCAGACUCCUACGGGAGACAGCAGUGGGGAAUAUUGGACAAUGGGCGCAAGCCUGAUCCAGCCAUGCCGCGUGAGUGAUGAAGGCCCUAGGGUUGUAAAGCUCUUUCACCGGUGAAGAUAAUGACGGUAACCGGAGAAGAAGCCCCGGCUAACUUCGUGCCAGCAGCCGCGGUAACAC
rnacentral:rRNA from 1 species